rnacentral:misc_RNA from 1 species
GACGGAGGGCGCGAGCGUUGUUCGGAAUCACUGGGCGUAAAGCGCACGCAGGCGGGUCGGGAAGUCGGAGGUGAAAGCCCGGGGCUCAACCCCGGGACGCCCUCCGAAACUCCCGACCUAGGGACCGGUAGAGGCUGGUGGAAUUCCCGGAGUAGCGGUGGAAUGCGUAGAGAUCGGGAAGAACACCCGUGGCGAAGGCGGCCAGCUGGGCCGGGUCCGACGCUCAGGUGCGAAAGCGUGGGGAGCAAACAGG